rnacentral:rRNA from 1 species
GAUGAACGCUGGCGGCGUGCCUAAUACAUGCAAGUCGAGCGGACGGACGAGAAGCUUGCUUCUCUGAUGUUAGCGGCGGACGGGUGAGUAACACGUGGAUAACCUACCUAUAAGACUGGGAUAACUUCGGGAAACCGGAGCUAAUACCGGAUAAUAUUUUGAACCGCAUGGUUCAAAAGUGAAAGACGGUCUUGCUGUCACUUAUAGAUGGAUCCGCGCUGCAUUAGCUAGUUGGUAAGGUAACGGCUUACCAAGGCAACGAUGCAUGGCCGACCUGAGAGGGUGAUCGGCCACACUGGAACUGAGACACGGUCCAGACUCCUACGGGAGGCAGCAGUAGGGAAUCUUCCGCAAUGGGCGAAAGCCUGACGGAGCAACGCCGCGUGAGUGAUGAAGGUCUUCGGAUCGUAAAACUCUGUUAUUAGGGAAGAACAUAUGUGUAAGUAACUGUGCACAUCUUGACGGUACCUAAUCAGAAAGCCACGGCUAACUACGUG